rnacentral:ncRNA from 1 species
CAAUAAGCGGAGGAAAAGAAACUAACAAGGAUUCCCCUAGUAACUGCGAGUGAAGCGGGAAAAGCUCAAAUUUAAAAUCUGGCGGUCUCCGGCCGUCCGAGUUGUAAUCUAGAGAAGUGUUAUCCGCGCUGGACCGUGUACAAGUCUCCUGGAAUGGAGCGUCAUAGAGGGUGAGAAUCCCGUCUUUGACACGGACUGCCAGGGCUUUGUGAUGCGCUCUCAAAGAGUCGAGUUGUUUGGGAAUGCAGCUCAAAAUGGGUGGUAAAUUCCAUCUAAAGCUAAAUAUUGGCGAGAGACCGAUAGCGAACAAGUACCGUGAGGGAAAGAUGAAAAGAACUUUGGAAAGAGAGUUAAACAGUACGUGAAAUUGCUGAAAGGGAAACGCUUGAAGUCAGUCGCGUUGGCUGGGGAUCAACCUUGCUUUUGCUGGGUGUACUUUCCGGUCGACGGGUCAGCAUCAAUUUUGACCGUUGGAUAAAGUUCAGGGGAAUGUGGCAUCUUCGGAUGUGUUAUAGCCCUUGGUCGCAUACAACGAUUGGGAUUGAGGAACUCAGCACGCCGCAAGGCCGGGUACUUGUACCACGUUCGUGCUUAGGAUGCUGGCAUAAUGGCUUUAAUCGACCCGUCUUGAAACACGGACCAAGGAGUCUAACAUGCCUGCGAGUGUUUGGGUGGAAAACCCGGGCGCGUAAUGAAAGUGAAAGUUGAGAUCCCUGUCGCGGGGAGCAUCGACGCCCGGACCAGACCUUUUGUGACGGAUCCGCGGUAGAGCAUGUAUGUUGGGACCCGAAAGAUGGUGAACUAUGCCUGAAUAGGGUGAAGCCAGAGGAAACUCUGGUGGAGGCUCGUAGCGAUUCUGACGUGCAAAUCGAUCGUCAAAUUUGGGUAUAGGGGCGAAAGACUAAUCGAACCAUCUAGUAGCUGGUUCCUGC